rnacentral:rRNA from 1 species
GACGAACGCUGGCGGCGUGCUUAACACAUGCAGGUCGAACGGUAAGGCCCUUCGGGGUACACGAGUGGCGAACGGGUGAGUAACACGUGGGUGAUCUGCCCUGCACUUCGGGAUAAGCCUGGGAAACUGGGUCUAAUACCGGAUAGGACCACUGCCUGCAUGGGUGGUGGUGGAAAGCUUUUGCGGUGUGGGAUGGCCCGCGGCCUAUCAGCUUGUUGGUGGGGUGAUGGCCUACCAAGGCGACGACGGGUAGCCGGCCUGAGAGGGUGACCGGCCACACUGGGACUGAGAUACGGCCCAGACUCCUACGGGAGGCAGCAGUGGGGAAUAUUGCACAAUGGGCGCAAGCCUGAUGCAGCGACGCCGCGUGAGGGAUGACGGCCUUCGGGUUGUAAACCUCUUUCAGCACCGACGAAGCGCAAGUGACGGUAGGUGCAGAAGAAGGACCGGCCAACUACGUGCCAGCAGCCGCGGUAA